rnacentral:rRNA from 1 species
AGUGAACGCUGGCGGUAGGCCUAACACAUGCAAGUCGAACGGCAGCACAGAGGAGCUUGCUCCUUGGGUGGCGAGUGGCGGACGGGUGAGGAAUGCAUCGGAAUCUACUCUGUCGUGGGGGAUAACGUAGGGAAACUUACGCUAAUACCGCAUACGACCUACGGGUGAGAGCAGGGGAUCUUCGGACCUUGCGCGAUUGAAUGAGCCGAUGUCGGAUUAGCUAGUUGGCGGGGUAAAGGCCCACCAAGGCGACGAUCCGUAGCUGGUCUGAGAGGGUGAUCAGCCACACUGGAACUGAGACACGGUCCAGACUCCUACGGGAGGCAGCAGUGGGGAAUAUUGGACAAUGGGCGCAAGCCUGAUCCAGCCAUACCGCGUGGGUGAGGAAGGCCUUCGGGUUGUAAAGCCCUUUUGUUGGGAAAGAAAUCCAUCUGGUUAAUACCCGGGUGGGAUGACGGUACCCAAAGAAUAAGCACCGGCUAACUUCGUGCCAGCAGCCGCCGUAA